CAUGUUAUAAUUAUAGAUUAUUACAUGGCAUUUUCCAUAUGGCCCUGGUAUCAGCCCUAGACUCCCAUAUCAAGCCAGAGGGCUUUAGCCCGAGGGCUUGAUAUGGGUCGUGGGCUGAUACCAUGGACCAUAUGGAAAAUGACAUGUCAUAAUCUAUUUAUCACAUAUUUUCAAGCAGGAGAAAACAAAUAGCUUACACCUAAUUAUGUUUGAUAUUUCAUCAAAAAUCAAAAAGAUAUUUAACAAAAAAAAAAGAUAAAUGUAUCACUGUGAGUUAAAAAAAAGUUCGUAUCACAGUAGGUUAACAACGUUUUGUGAAAAGUUUCAGAAAUAAUUAACAAUAAAUAUACUAAUUCUAAGAAUUGCAAAUAUUAAACGACUUUAAAGUGUUACAUUACAAAUGUUAAAAAAUGCUUAGGAAGAAUCCUAUAUCGCUAC
rnacentral:lncRNA from 1 species